CACCCGCGCUAGCCACGUCAUUACAGACGUACUGUUCGUUGCGACCAAUCCGGAGAUAUCUUUGGGCUGGCCAAUCGCGUGUGGGGCAUCGGAGGUCCCUGGUUGGCGUGAACGCGUGCGCGACCGACCGAGCCGCCGUUCCCCUUCCCUCGAUUCCUCUCCCUCCCCUCGUCUUCCGCCGUCGCUGCCACCGGCGACCUCCCCACAGCAGCUGCCGCCACCGGCGACCUCCCCCACGGCUGAUGCUCCCACCCCUUCUAUCCUUCCUUUACCUUCCCUCACCAUCGACGACCUCCUCCCCUCCCCCCUGCCCCAAAUUGAGCAGCAGGCCCGGAUCCAACGCAGGCUCAGAUCCGGCACGCUCAUAACCCUGGUUCGUCCUGAGGACACUAUGGACAAGAUGCUCUGGGCCUAGUGAUGCAGCCAUGGACAAGGUUGUUGUGGCCAUGCCUAAAAUAGCCACUGGAUUAGAUUGUUAUUUUAACUAAUCCCUCUUCAGUCUCAGUCAUGUUCAAGACUCAUGUGGUCGUCGAUUACAAGGGUGUCUCAGGGGGUUAAAGAAGUUGUGUUCUUACAGAUUUGAGCUGAAAGUAAUUCAAAAUAGCUGAUUGUUUCUAUCUCCAUGGUUGUGAUGUCAAGGAUCAUGGAGACCAAGGUCACCACAUUCUGGUGCAUGUAGAAAAAUGACUAAGAUCCUUGUAUUUGGUUAUUUUUUGUACUUACUGGCCUAUAUAUUCAUUUCUACGUUGCUUUGCUGAAGUUGCUGCUGUUUUAAUUACAAUGUGUGUUUUGUUGGAGCAGGAGGCCGGAAGGGAUCUUAUACUACGAUGAGCGUUUUCUUCAAUCAUACCAAAAUGCAUGAAAAAUAUAGCUGUGGUUGUUGGCCUGAUUUAAAUGAGAAUUUAAAUAUUUCUUGCUUGGUUAUUCCAGUUAUGUUACAAUAUUUGAUUUUCGUAGCUCAGGAUGUCGAUUCACAUUGCCUUAAUUCCUGUAUGCUGGUUUCUUUCUACCCCUUGUCAGGGAGAUCCAGGAAGGAGGUGACCGUCUCCCACGGCGUCGCAUCGUCAUGAGGAGGACGAAAGUGAGCAUGGGCUGUAGGCUGGUGACAUACAUACUGGUUAAGGGUGGAUAUAUGUGAUUUGUGUGCCGUGUCGGUUCCAGGUAGCACAAUGUUUCAGACUCAGAGCAAAGGAAAAAGCUGAUCAAUAGGUUUCAGCCAUGGUUAGCCUCUCUUCCAAUUUUUUGAUGUGAGUUUUUAGCCUUACUUUUUCUGGCAAUGGAUGCAGAUUAGCUUGGUGGCCUGCAUCUAUAUUUCUUUAUAGUUUUUUUUGUGUUGUUUGGCUAAUAAUUCUGCUCUGUAUCAUCUCCAAACAAGGGUUAGUUAGCUAUCUUUAGAUCUUUUUUGGUACACAAACACUGCAUGUAUUUGUACGUAUAGCAGGAUUUGAAUCCGUUUUGUAUCUACAUGGCAGAACUACCACUCAAAUUAGUGUCUUUUAUUUCUUCAUCAAGAAAAGGUUUGUUCUCUCAGUUUCCUCCAAGUCCAAGUUCAGUUUGAACUGUCUAAACAGGGAUUUACAGAUUGUAUAUUCUUUGCCCACUUGCUAUUUUUUUGCCAAUACCGUCAUUGUGAUUAGCAAAAGUAGGAUCGUAACCUUUUUAUAUGCUUGGUUACUCUUUAGAUUACGAUGUUGAAGACACAGCUUUACCUCUUCAACCAUCUGAACUAUGCUGCACCAGAACUGGUCCCUAGUGGUGGUUCUAAAGUAGGCUUUUCCUGUGACAUAUUUAGUUUUGGAUUGCCAUAAUAAUGUGAAAAUGGUAUCUGUUUUAAUCUGGCACAUGCUUUGUCAAAAUAUAAUGUAUUUAAUCUGGACUUCGCUCUACCUUUGACAUAUGCUACAGCUGCAUAUGCAGAAAACAUACUGACAUGUCCCCCUGUAAUUGCAGUAUAUGAAUUCAUUGACAUAUUUAACAAGUGAAGCCUUUUCUAAUAUUCCUACUCAUCUGGUGGUUGAUUUGCAAAAGAUGCUCUCAGUUGACAGCGGCGGCGGACAGCGCUGGGCGGCACGCCCAUCAGUGCCCGUGUGCCCCGACCGGUGCGGACUGCUUGUGUAGGGCCACAUCAGCUGGUUGCUCAAGCCUGCGUGUGGACUGCCCGCUAAGAUUGAUUUCCAGCUCAUCUCCAUGGGUUCCCUGAGGUGAGCGCGAUGCCGAGGAGAGAUGGCGUCGAGGACGACAUCUGAGGACAUCAUCACGCUCAUGGCUCCGCCGCCAUCGUCAUCGAGUUUUUUGGUUUCACAGCAAACAGGUGUGCGACGGGCCGGCAACCAGCGGCGCCAUCUCUAUCCCUGACACUAGAUAAUAGCGUGGCUAAUGGCCCGCGCGCGGCGCGCCUGUCUGUGCCCGUGCGCUCAGGCUGAUGCGGACUGCGACUGCGCGUAGGGCCGCCGCAGCUGCAUGCUCAAGGCGGCGUGCGGACUGCCUGGAUCUAAGACGACACAUAUCACACUUCUGCCCGUCAUCCUAAUUUUGGUGCUUUUUUAGAGGUGUGGGAUUGGGCAGUGGUGAGCUUGGCUCUCAUAUCAGGUUUCUCGUCUACAUUAAUCUUGAUGUAGCUUUGUUACGCCUAUUCAGCUAGGUGGGGCAUUGGUCAUAGCCGAAGUCGAAGGGAAAAAAUAAGGUAAUGAGAUGAUGGUGCCAUCAAGAAGUUUUCGACGAACGUAGUAGCGGCCAAAAAUGAAACUCUUGCAUGAAAGACCGGAUUUGACGCAAGAUGAAUGGCGUUGGGGUUUUUCAAAUGAAACCCGCGAUCAGAAAGUCACCAACGGAGCCAUACAAUCUAUCUAGUAGUGUGCCAUGGCACGGUACUCCGCUUCGGCAGUGGAAGGAGCAACUGUCUAUUGCUUUUAUCUCAUCCAAGAUAGUGUCUCGUCUCCCCAUAAAAUAGAUAAGCCUGUAGUUGAGCACCUAUCUGAAGGCCCAAUCGGCAUCAGUAGUUGCACGCAACUCUAAAGAAGACGAUGACGGAAAAAAGGACGGCUCGAGAAAAGGUACCUCGAAUAUAUCUAAGAAUCCGAUGAACUGCUGCAAAGUGAACUGACCGAGGGGCAGCCAUGAAGGGCUGACUUUCUUAGGAAAAACCAUCUGGGCAAGAGAUCGUCAGAUAAACCAAACUGCUGACCUACUGUCUGUACUGCGUCGGAUCAGAUAAUGGUGAGCCAUCAGUCGGACGGAGUUUAACAUAAAGCUCCAAGGGAGUGUCAACAGUCUUCUCAUCAUUGAGUUGAGCUUGAGUGAUCAAGUCAUAACGUUAUUUGAUCUGAGAUACCAAAUAUCCACGAGGAGAAUGUGCGACCUCCAAGCCAAGAAAAGGCUUAGGGCGCGUCAGCGCCUUCAUAGCAAAUAAUUGAUGAAGGCGACACUUGAUCAGCGAUAUGGUAACGGAGUAAUCACCAGUCAGUUUGAUAUCAUCAACAUACAACAACAGAAUAGCACGUCCUCGAGGAUAAACUGAUACGAACAUGGCCGAAUCAUGAUCACUCCGAGCAAACCCUGCCUGGAUAACAUAACCACUGUGCUGAACUUCAAAAACCGACGCUAUCGGGGCUUGUUGAGACCAUAGAUCGCUUUGCGUAAAGGACAGACAAGAGAAGAAGUCAGAAGGGUAGGUUCUCUUUCAUCCGUCUUUUCUAGGUGCGCAUCUCCAUCUACUAAAAGUAGGGGUGGUUGCCAUAGAUAGAUUGGGUCAUUCGUAACCUGAGCAAUAACGGAAAUAACCGAUGCUACAGCAGAAACUACAGCUAUAUGUGGCGGCCCCACACGCAGCUUUGUUUAACAAGCAUCACCCUUCCUUUCUUUUCAAAUGCUUCCUCAGUCAAUCAACAGCUUAUUCGAUUCCUAUUCUUAUUAAACAUCUGAUAUAGAUGGUGGGAACAAUGAAGCAUAUUCUUCAUCUGUAGGUUGCAAUCCGUAUGAUUUCUUUUCUCGAUCUCCUGCUUGUGUUUCACCUCGCACCUAAGCAUCACGUUCCUAGGGACAGAGACAUCUGCGCUCUAAGGCAAUCAUAGUACUACCAGCAUGGUUACAUCAUUCUGCGGGCAAGCUUCAACUUCAAAGUCACCUGAUUUGGCACCAGCCAAAGGAGUAGGAACAGCAGCUGGGGAAGCACCAUUACCAUCCAUGGGAUGCUUUGUGAACAGCCCCCUCUGUUCAAUACCGAUACCUGUCAGAUUCCAUAGCUGAUGAAUCUCUUUCUUUUUCCACUCUUUCCCCGUCACGCAAGACGCUUUUCUGGCACAAACCUAGUAGUUAUUUGUCCUGCUGAUCUUGGGUGAACUGAUGACACUGAUGCUCCAAGACCAAGAGUUUUCACAGCCAAAGCUAUUGAAGCUGCUCCCUCCCAUGAAUCACAGCUUUCUGGACGCACUGCUUGAACACCAUGGAGCAAGAUAGAGAAAAAACUCCUAUCCCAGUUGAUCGAGCUGAACCCACCCACCGCCGGGCAGGUGCAUCAGCCUCUUCUUUCUAGUUUCCGACAGGGCUACCCGCACUAGCCUCUAACCUCUACCCCAAAACCUGAACUUCACAGAUCCGAAGCCUAAACCUUCACUACUUCCAUCACUUCACAGAGCAGGUCUUGUUUUCAAACUUGCUUUCGGGUUAAGUACAGAAAAUCAAUUCAAUAUUCCUGUCAUUGAGGAUCUAUUAGAUGAGCUACAUGGUGCACAACUGUUUUCCAAACUUGAUUUGAGAUCAGGUUAUCAUCAGAUAAGAAUGAGAAGAGAAGACAUUCCAAAAUUUUAGGACAUAUUUUUGUCAUUAUGAAUACUUAGUGAUGCCAUUUGGACUCACUAAUGCACCUGCUACCUUCCAAUCUUUAAUGAAUCAUGUUUUUGCUCCGGAAAUACCUUUUGGUAUUCUUUGAUGAUAUUCUGAUAUAUAGCAAGACCAAACAAGCUCAUCUCAAGCAUCUAAAGUUAGUCCUGGACAUUCUAAGGUCAUAAAAACUAUAUGCUAAGAUUAGCAAAUGAAGUUUUCCUGUCCCUCAAGUGGAGUAUUUAGGGCAUGUUAUCUAAGGAUAGGUUCUAUCUACAGACCCCCACAAAAUAGUUGCCAUCAAAGAAUGGCCAGCACCUAAGACUAUCACUCAGUUGAGGAGUUUUCUUGGUAUGGCUGCAGAAAAAGAAGAUUUGUCAAGAAUUAUGGGAUAAAUUCUAGGCCACUUCAUGACUGUCUAAAAAAAGAAUCAUUCCAGUGGUCAGAUGCUCAAAUUGAGGCCUUCACAACAUUGAAGAAUUGUCUGGUCACUGCUCCUGUUAUGGCUUUGCCUGAUUUGACCCUACCAUUUACUUUUUAAACAGAUGCAUCAGGUCAAGGUAUUGGUUCUGUCCUCAUGCAACAAGGUAGACCAAUUGCUUAUUUCAGUAAAACCCUUGGACCCAGAAAUGCAGCUAUGUCAACUUAUGAUAAGGAGAAGCUUUAGCUAUUUGUGAAUCCUUGAAGAGAUGGCGCCACUACUUUCUUGGUUCCCAAUUCUUUUAUUGAUCAAAACUGAUCAACAGAGCCUUAAAUACAUCACAGAACAAAAAGUCUCUGAGGGCAUCCAGCACAAGCUUAUGUGAAAAUUGCUUGAAUUCAAUUACAAGAUUGAAUACAAAAAAAUAAAACAAGGUUGCAGAUGCUUUGAGCAGAAGAGAUUCUCUUAUGAUGGCAGUCACUGCAGUUACUCCUGCUUGGGCUUCAACUGUAGAAACCAGCUACACUAAUGAUGAUCACUGCAAAUCUCUGCUUGAGAAGCUCACUGUAUCAGCCAAUGCAGCACCCCCUUAUACUCUUCAUUCUGGCAUUUUGAGAUAUAAAGGAAGAAUAUAUGUGGGAUCAGAUGCUGUUCUUAAACACCAAAUCAUUGAUUCACUUCACAACUCUCCCAUAGGAGGCCAUUCAGGCAUUGUGGCUACUUAUCAAAGGGUAAAAAAGCUAUUUGAUUGGCGCUAGGCCAGGAGAUUGAAACUUUUCUACAUGAGUGUGCAGUUUGCCAAAGAGUCAAGGGAGAGCAUUGCCACUACCCUGGUCUCCUAGAUCCACUGCCAUUACCUACUUCUGCUUGGACUGACAUCUCCCUGGAUUUCUUUGAGGGUCUUCCCAAAUCAUUGGGCAAAGAAGUCAUAUUGUUGGUGGUGGACAGGUUCACUAAAUAUUCUCAUUUCAUUCCCCUUGCUCACCCUUAUACAGUACAAUCAGUCUCUCAUGCUUUCAUGGAUAAUGUUUUUAAGUGGAAUGGAUUGCCAAAGUCAAUAGUCUCUGACAGAAACUGGAUAUUCACAAGUAACAUGUGGCAGGCCUUCUUCAAAGCACUGCAAGUGAAAUUGAGGUUUAGCUCUGCCUAUCACCCACAAUCAGAUGGCCAGACAGAACGUGUGAAUCAGUGUGUGGAAAAUUACUUGCGUUGCAUGGUUUUUCAGCAACCAAGGAAGUGGGCUAGUUUGGAUCAAGCAAAUGCCACUUGGGAGGAUGCCGACUUCAUCAAAGGUCUCUUUCCGGAGUUCUAUACAGCUCCUAUUCGUGGUUGGUGCCCUAAUUCCAACACUUGACAAUGCUUUGGGGGAGGUAUUGUCAUAUCUGAAGAUUACUGUACCUAACUCUCGAUUGAAUUUAGAGUGCUGCCUUUACUUCAUCUGCCGUGAACGGAGCCAAGAGGCUUGCGUUCAUUUCUUCAGUUACUCGCCUGUUUACUUUCCCCAGUAGCCCAGGGUCGGGAGCUAGGACUUCUGAGGUGAACAGUCCCUCAAAGUAACCCUGUAUCAGAGAUGCUAACUGGUCAUUACCUUCGAUCCUGUUGCCGUUUGAGUCAUUCAGAAACUUUAUUAUGUUCUUCUUUUUUCUACGUUGCAAAAUGAUGUGAUGAAAGAAGCUCGUAUUUCGGUCUCCAUGGUGGAGCCAAUUAGCCCUUCCUCUUUGCAGCCAUUAAUCCGAGUGCAAACUCUCUCAAUUAAGUGUUGGAAGCAGUCGCUCCUAUCCACUCCUACCAGGGAGGGGAGCCCCAAGUAUUUGUCAGUGAGCGAUUCGGUGACAAUAUUCAGCAGGUUGCAUACCUCUUGUCUGUCCGCCCUAUCUGUCUAAGGGUCCUUGGUAAAACUCUCUUCAUUGAAGGCAAUACGUGGGUAUCCAUCUUAUCUACGAUCUGCGGGUCAUCCACAUGACCAAAACAAAGGGUACGAAAGCAGUGAAACUGAUAUAUCUGUUGAAGGCGAUCCCACCGGUCCUAUUUAUUAAGUUGCAAUGGCGAGUAUCUUUGGACCCCAAAGAGUUGUAUAAGUUGGAAAAUGGAGAUUUGCCUGUGGCAUUGGCCGUUGGGCAGCUAGCUAUUGCAUUUGAAGGCUCCACAGAAAGAACCCGCAGGUACUAUUACGACAGGUGGCUUCGAAUCCAGUUUGUUAGUUGUUUGCAUCUUGGUUAACAAAAAUAAGUUGGAAUCCCUCCAUUCGUAGAUCAAUCAGCUAAAGUUGUUAAAACAAUGCCCCGGUAAAAAGGUAGCAGAAGGUCGUUCUUUCUUACUCUAAGUUGCACUCAGGUGCUGCCGUUUUAGAGCUAGGCGAUAUUCUUUGUGUAAACCAGUAUCGUAUCUGUUCGAUAUGGACCAUUCUAUAAGUAUAGUCAUUUCAGUCUUCCUCAAAGGAUCUCCGAUCUAUUGUGCAACCUUCCCUUCGAAACCCACCCCACACGAAUACUUCUACCCCUUAUCACAGCUCCAAUGCCCACAGGCAUCUGUCUCUAGCACAAAUCUUUUACUGAAAUCAGGGAGAACCAACACAGGGGCCUCAAUUAAAGCUUGCUUGAGAACAUCAAAGGAUUGCUUUGGCUUGUCCACACAAAUGGUACUCCUUUCUUUAACAAGUUCAUGAGAGGUCUCCUAAUUAUGUAUAUACAGGAUGAGUCACAUCUUGACCGGAGCCAUGCGGAGCACAAAAAGUGAAGAGAAAGGAUUUGUUCACCACUUUAAGCCAAAAGAUAGAAAUGAAAGCUGUUCCCAUAGAAUGAGAUUAGAUCCACAAGUGAGCUAUUUAUACCGAAGCUUACAAGAAGCAAAGUUGAAACGGGAGCUUUCCCACCACGGCAUCCAACUCUUCUCUUCCGUAAGCAAAGGGGCUUUCAACAAGAUAGGGAGCUGUACAAUUUCACCCGUGGGUGGGGCUGGCUACGCUUGCUAGAUUGGAUCAAAUAUACGUGUCCUACGCUAGGCGGAAUCGUUGUUUCACUCCUCCAAGCGUUCCUUGCCAAUGGGUAAAGCCUUUAUCUAUCACUUCGGUCGGAGACAUAUUAAUUACCUUUUUUAUCCUUGGACCCUUGAAAGCUCGCUUCCCUUCCUGAACUGAGGGAAACCGGUGCCUGAGAGAUCCGUUAUCUGCAGUCUCUGAGCUUGAUUGCACAUCUUUUCCUGCUCAUACAUGUGUUUUUGCACGCUUGAGACCUCCUCUUUCGCUUGGCUAUCCGAGGAAAGAUGUCUUACGAGGUGGGUUGGACAACGUACGUAGUGAGCCUGCUGCUAUCAGUGUGAAGAUGAGCAUCUAUCUUUCUUUUCAGGAUUUAGUGUGUGUGUGCUUGUUCUUAAGGGAACGUGCAAAUCACCCAAUCAUAUCAGGAUGGAUCCAAUGGGUGUGAUUUUUGUCUGUAUUGAUCACUUACCCAUGCUAUAAGAAGAAGGGCGUCAUGGAAGAGUUUGGGGUCCAAAGCCACACCUUCUUUCCCCCAUAGGAACAGAGGUCAGGAGCUGCCGGCAGGGCGCUGCAUUUAAUCUGACUGAUGGCUCAAGAUAAGUACGAGACGUACUUGAGAUAAAUAAUUUAUGUAUUUCGCUAUUUCGAAUACCUAAACUGCUGCUAACAAGAAUAAGUACGGAGAGAUUGGAUCUCCCUGGCGUAGUCCCUGAGAAGGUUUGAAUUCCUCAAGACGCUCCCCAUUGAAAAGAACCGAGAAGGUAACUGAAGUCACUAACCUCAUCACCAUAGAAAUCCCACCUUCGCUGAAAAAAGUGGGCUGGAUAGCCGUCCGGGCCAGGGGCCUUUCAGGGUACAUCUUAAAAAGGUCACACUUCAGAACCAGUAAAGGGCGCAGUCAAUUGCUCAUUCAUUGCCUGAGAUACUUUCCGAGGAACUGUCGACAGAACGAACAUCCUCCAUUCUUUCAGUACCUUCAGCAGUA